rnacentral:rRNA from 1 species
AUGAACGCUAGCGACAGGCUUAACACAUGCAAGUCGAGGGGCAUCAUGAGGUAGCAAUACCUGAUGGCGACCGGCGCACGGGUGAGUAACGCGUAUGCAACCUGCCCGAUACCGGGGUAUAGCCCAUGGAAACGUGGAUUAACACCCCAUAGUACUUUUAUCCUGCAUGGGAUGUGAGUUAAAUGUUUAAGGUAUCGGAUGGGCAUGCGUCCUAUUAGUUAGUUGGCGGGGUAACAGCCCACCAAGACGAUGAUAGGUAGGGGUUCUGAGAGGAAGGUCCCCCACAUUGGAACUGAGACACGGUCCAAACUCCUACGGGAGGCAGCAGUGAGGAAUAUUGGUCAAUGGACGAGAGUCUGAACCAGCCAAGUCGCGUGAGGGAAGACUGCCCUAUGGGUUGUAAACCUCUUUUAUAAGGGAAGAAUAAGUUCUACGUGUAGAAUGAUGCCUGUACCUUAUGAAUAAGCAUCGGCUAACUCCGUGCCAGCAGCCGCGGGAAUACGGAGGAUGCGAGCGUUAUCCGGAUUUAUUGGGUUUAAAGGGUGCGUAGGCGGUUUAUUAAGUUAGUGGUUAAAUAUUUGAGCUAAACUCAAUUGUGCCAUUAAUACUGGUAAACUGGAGUACAGACGAGGUAGGCGGAAUAAGUUAAGUAGCGGUGAAAUGCAUAGAUAUAACUUAGAACUCCGAUAGCGAAGGCAGCUUACCAGACUGUAACUGACGCUGAUGCACGAGAGCGUGGGUAGCGAACAGGAUUAGAUACCCUGGUAGUCCACGCCGUAAACGAUGCUCACUGGUUCUGUGCGAUAUAUUGUACGGGAUUAAGCGAAAGUAUUAAGUGAGCCACCUGGGGAGUACGUCGGCAACGAUGAAACUCAAAGGAAUUGACGGGGGCCCGCACAAGCGGAGGAACAUGUGGUUUAAUUCGAUGAUACGCGAGGAACCUUACCUGGGUUUAAAUGGGAAAUGUCGUAUUUGGAAACAGAUAUUCUCUUCGGAGCGUUUUUCAAGGUGCUGCAUGGUUGUCGUCAGCUCGUGCCGUGAGGUGUC